AUUGAACGCUGGCGGCAGGCCUAACACAUGCAAGUCGAACGAGUGGCGGACGGGUGAGUAAUGUCUGGGAAACUGACCGAUGGAGGGGGAUAACUACUGGAAACGGUAGCUAAUACAGAAUACCAUCGGAUGAGCCCCGAUGGGAUUAGCAAGUAGGUGGGGUAACGGCUCACCAAGGCGACGAUCCCUAGCUGGUCUGAGAGGAUGACCAGCCACACUGGAACUGAGACACGGUCCAGACUCCUACGGGAGGCAGCAGUGGGGAAUAUUGCACAAUGGGCGCAAGCCUGACGCAGCCAUGCCGCGUGAAUGAAGAAGGCCUUCGGGUUGUAAAGUACUUUCAGCGAAGAGGCGUUAAUCGCAGAAGAAGCACCGGCUAACUCCGUGCCAGCAGCCGCGGUAAUUC
rnacentral:rRNA from 1 species